AGUCAAUAGAAUUAUUUUGAGAACUGUUGAAAUGAAGAUGUCUAUGUGAUAAACGCACGCAUAUUUACGUAUAAGUAGUUCUAGAGUUCAGACUGCAUACCUCUCAGUGAAAUUUAUAAUUGAUUUUUUACGUAAGCUAGAUUAUAUACAUAACACCAUCUUGUACAAUCUUAUAAAAAUGUCAUGUAUAAUUUCAAAUUAAAAUGUACAGUAAUGUGCGACACACCCAAGACAUAAAGUAUAUAACAAAAACUGUGUUUCAUCAAUAUUCGAUAAAAUUUUGAUAAUUAUCUCUCACUUCAAACAAAAUGGACCUCUGAAGACAACGAUGCAAAAUAAAUAAGGUAACAAAUUGGCAUGUUCUACAUGUGCGUGUAUUAGCCAAAUUAAUUCUGUAGAGAUGAAUAUUAAGUAUGACAGCACUUACAAACACAUCUGGAAACAGGGUUUAUAUCAGUAACUGAAUAAAAAAAUGUUCCGUGAAAUUGCAUUUGCCCCUAAAACAGAAUCAUUAUAUUUAAAAACAAGUUUGGAGAAUGAUACCAUUAAUCAUGGACAACCUAGCUUAAACUACAAUAGAUUAGGAGCAUAUUUUUUAAAUUUCUACA
rnacentral:lncRNA from 1 species